AGCGCAGGCGGGAAGGUAAGUCUAUCUUAAAAGUGCGGGGCUCAACCCCCGUGAGGGGAUAGAAACUAUUUUUCUUGAGUGCAGGAGAGGAAAGCGGAAUUCCUAGUGUAGCGGUGAAAUGCGUAGAUAUUAGGAGGAACACCAGUGGCGAAGGCGGCUUUCUGGACUGUAACUGACGCUGAGGCUCGAAAGCCAGGGGAGCGAAG
rnacentral:rRNA from 1 species